GCCGAGUUCGUCUAGCCCGGCUCAGGACGCUAGGUUCUCAGCCUAGAAACAUGAGUUCGAAUCUCAUACUCGGUA
rnacentral:tRNA from 4 species